UACGAGGGGUGCAAGCGUUGCUCGGAAUUAUUGGGCGUAAAGGGUAGGUAGGUGGUCUCAUUUGUCUAGGGUGAAAGCCUUGAGCUUAACUCAAGAAGUGCCCUAGAAACGGUGAGACUGGAGUCCUGGAGAGGGUCGUGGAAUUCCCGGUGUAGCGGUGAAAUGCGUAGAGAUCGGGAGGAACAUCUGUGGCGAAGGCGACUACCUGGACCAGCACUGACACUGAGGCACGAAAGCGUGGGGAGCAAACAGG
rnacentral:rRNA from 1 species